rnacentral:misc_RNA from 1 species
UUCGGACCCUCUCCUUUCAGUCUCCGCCUUCCAUCCUUGCCCGUGAAUCUGCCACUUGUUUUCGAGUAGUUCUCUCUUUUCUUUUCUGCCCAAAGGGGGCAAAAUGGAGUUAAGGUAGCGAUGUGAGGCAGUGACGGUCAACCCGGGCCUAUGAAUAGAGGGAAGAUCAUUUCUACCAACAGUAAAUAAAAAAGAAAGUCGAAGAAAGUAAGAAAGCAUUCAGCAGGGCAGAAAGCGAAUAGAAAAUCUAAGACAAAGGG